UGUGUGUUAGUGGAAGCGUCUGGAAAGGCGCGCGAUACAGGGUGACAGCCCCGUACACAAAAAUGCACAUGCUGUGAGCUCGAUGAGUAGGGCGGGACACGUGGUAUCCUGUCUGAAUAUGGGGGGACCAUCCUCCAAGGCUAAAUACUCCUGACUGACCGAUAGUGAACCAGUACCGUGAGGGAAAGGCGAAAAGAACCCCGGCGAGGGGAGUGAAAAAGAACCUGAAACCGUGUACGUACAAGCAGUGGGAGCACGCUUAGGCGUGUGACUGCGUACCUUUUGUAUAAUGGGUCAGCGACUUAUAUUCUGUAGCAAGGUUAACCGAAUAGGGGAGCCGAAGGGAAACCGAGUCUUAACUGGGCGUUAAGUUGCAGGGUAUAGACCCGAAACCCGGUGAUCUAGCCAUGGGCAGGUUGAAGGUUGGGUAACACUAACUGGAGGACCGAACCGACUAAUGUUGAAAAAUUAGCGGAUGACUUGUGGCUGGGGGUGAAAGGCCAAUCAAACCGGGAGAUAGCUGGUUCUCCCCGAAAGCUAUUUAGGUAGCGCCUCGUGAAUUCAUCUCCGGGGGUAGAGCACUGUUUCGGCAAGGGGGUCAUCCCGACUUACCAACCCGAUGCAAACUGCGAAUACCGGAGAAUGUUAUCACGGGAGACACACGGCGGGUGCUAACGUCCGUCGUGAAGAGGGAAACAACCCAGACCGCCAGCUAAGGUCCCAAAGUCAUGGUUAAGUGGGAAACGAUGUGGGAAGGCCCAGACAGCCAGGAUGUUGGCUUAGAAGCAGCCAUCAUUUAAAGAAAGCGUAAUAGCUCACUGGUCGAGUCGGCCUGCGCGGAAGAUGUAACGGGGCUAAACCAUGCACCGAAGCUGCGGCAGCGACGCUGAUGCGUUGUUGGGUAGGGGAGCGUUCUGUAAGCCUGCGAAGGUGUGCUGUGAGG
rnacentral:rRNA from 1 species